rnacentral:rRNA from 1 species
UACGUAGGGGGCAAGCGUUGUUCGGAUUUACUGGGCGUAAAGGGCGCGUAGGCGGCGCGUAAAGUCGGACAUGAAAUCAUUAGGCUCAACCUAAUGGCUGUGUCCGAUACUUACGUGCUUGGAGUGCGGGAGAGGUAGCUGGAAUUCUCGGUGUAGCGGUGAAAUGCGUAGAGAUCGAGAGGAACACCGGUGACGAAGGUGGGUUGCUGGACCGACACUGACGCUGAGGCGCGAAAGCUAGGGGAGCAAACGGG